rnacentral:rRNA from 1 species
GACGAACGCUGGCGGCGUGCUUAACACAUGCAAGUCGAACGGAAAGGCCCUGCUUUUGUGGGGUGCUCGAGUGGCGAACGGGUGAGUAACACGUGAGUAAAAUGCACUUGACUUUGGGAUAACUUCAGGAAACUGGGGCUAAUACCGGAUAGGAGCUCCUGAUGCACGGUGGGGGUUGGAAAGUUUCGGCGGUUGGGGAUGGACUCGCGGCUUAUCAGCUUGUUGGUGGGGUAGUGGCUUACCAAGGCUUUGACGGGUAGCCGGCCUGAGAGGGUGACCGGCCACAUUGGGACUGAGAGACGGCCCAGACUCCUACGGGAGGCAGCAGUGGGGAAUAUUGCACAAUGGGCGGAAGCCUGAUGCAGCAACGCCGCGUGCGGGAUGACGGCCUUCGGGUUGUAAACCGCUUUCGCCUGUGACGAAGCGUGAGUGACGGUAAUGGGUAAAGAAGCACCGGCUAACUACGUG